ensembl:lncRNA
CUGCUGUACAUUCACAGUAACUGCCAUCUCCUUACAAAUGUUUUUAAAUUGACCACACUUAUACAGACUGUAUAUAACAACCAACUCUAAAACGUUUGUUGGCAGAGAAAAGACACAGACAGACUAUGCUUACAGGAUGUGAUGUGACAACACUAAUGAAAUAUUGAUGUGUCAUUUUUGUUCAAGACAUUUUUCUUAUGGGCAAAAAUAUUAAAAUCGUGAUGAACAGGGGUGGUGAUUCCUAUGACUUUUUGUAUAUAAUUUGGAAUUUUUUACAAAUGUGGUCCAAAAAUAGAUACAUGAUACCAUUUCAUUCAUUUCAAAUGUUUAUUUGCAUGACGCACAAACAGACACAAUUGAAAGGUACAAAUGUGUUGUGCAUGAAACGAAUUCAAACGUGGUGCAGAUGUGUGUCACAAGUUGAUCUGGCUGUAGGCUGUGGCACUUGGCCAGAGGUGGCGCUGGUUGAUUCGAGUCCAUGUUAGUGCACACAGCAUUUACAUUUAUGUGUCACGGCUGCACAGCAGUCGUGUGGUGUAUUGAAAAAAGGAUCCAAAAUGCAGGUACCGGCUGGGGUGCGAGUGAGUGUUUAUUUACAGCGGUGAGAAGGUGACAAAACAGGAAGAGCAGAGCGGGGAGUAAACAAACCUAAACUGGGAAAACUAAAGAACAAAACUUAAACCAAACACUCACGGGAGGAGGAGCGAAAUGCACAAAGAGAGAUGGCAGAGAGACGCAGAAUGAAUACCAGGUAACAGAAUAAUGCAGACUGACAUGGAACUAAACAGACGACGCGACAGAGAGCACAGGAAAACACAGGGCUUAAAUACACGGGGAGUAAUCAGGGAAUGGGCCACAGGAGGGAGACACAGCUGGGAGCAAUAAGGCUAACGAGACAGGGGAGAGGUAAAACUGAACACACUGACAUGAGACAUGAACUUUCAGAAUAAAACAGGAAACUAACAGACACAGAGAAUCAGACAGGACACUGAACUUGACAGGCAGACUCAUGAGCAGACACAAUAACACCAUGGACAGACAGAGGGAACACAGAGAAGUGGGAGCAGGCAGGCAAAGAACAGAAACCUAACAAAUGGCAAAAUCACAACAGAA